rnacentral:rRNA from 1 species
CAGUAGCCGCGGGAACACGAAGGGUGCAAGCGUUACUCGGAAUUACUGGGCGUAAAGCGUGCGUAGGUGGUGGUUUAAGUCCGUUGUGAAAGCCCUGGGCUCAACCUGGGAAUUGCAGUGGAUACUGGGUCACUAGAGUGUGGUAGAGGAUAGUGGAAUUUCCGGUGUAGCGGUGAAAUGCGUAGAUAUAGGAAGGAACACCAGUGGCGAAGGCGACCACCUGGACUGAUACUGACACUGAGGUGCGAAAGCGUGGGGAGCAAACAGGAUUAGAUACCCCCGUAGUCCCUGUCUCUUAUAC